rnacentral:rRNA from 1 species
AGUGAACGCUGGCGGUAGGCCUAACACAUGCAAGUCGAACGGCAGCACAGUAAGAGCUUGCUCUUACGGGUGGCGAGUGGCGGACGGGUGAGGAAUACAUCGGAAUCUACUUUUUCGUGGGGGAUAACGUAGGGAAACUUACGCUAAUACCGCAUACGACCUACGGGUGAAAGCAGGAGAUCAUCGGACCUUGCGCGUUUGAAUGAGCCGAUGUCGGAUUAGCUAGUUGGCGGGGUAAAGGCCCACCAAGGCGACGAUCCGUAGCCGGUCUGAGAGGAUGAUCAGCCACACUGGAACUGAGACACGGUCCAGACUCCUACGGGAGGCAGCAGUGGGGAAUAUUGGACAAUGGGCGCAAGCCUGAUCCAGCCAUACCGCGUGGGUGAAGAAGGCCUUCGGGUUGUAAAGCCCUUUUGUUGGGAAAGAAAAGCAGCAGGUUAAUACCCCGCUGUUCUGACGGUACCCAAAGAAUAAGCACCGGCUAACUUCGUG